UUAAUUAAAUAUAUAGUCUAUUUUCUACACGAAAUUGGAGGAGCUAAUUAUUAUAUAUUAUAGAUAGUAAGGUGUUGCAAAACUUGACAAAUAAUAAUUAGGGGUGAUAGACUUAUCAAUUUCAAUGAUAGCUUGAUAAUCAAUAAAUGUAUAAAUACAGCGACACUUCUAAAAUGAUAAGGUUUUAGAAGAUAAAUAAUAUACUUAAAUUCAACUAUGUUCUGUUUAACCACUAAUAUGCUAAUAAUAUAUAAUAAAUUGAGUGAGGUUGUUUAAAGUAAUGAUUAAUAUAACUAAUAUAUAUAUAUAUAAAUAAUGUUAAUAUUAGUAAUAUAAGUAUAAAACAUGAACUCGGCAAUAAGUCCUUUAACUGUUUAUCAAAAACAUAGCUACAUGCAUUUACAUGUGGUAAUUUCUGCUCAAUGAAGUUUAAAUAGCCGCAGUACUUUGACUGUGCUAAGGUAGCGCAAUCAAUUGGCUUUUAAUUGGAGUCCUGCAUGAAAGAAAACAUAAGGGGCUACUUUAUUUUUUGUAUUUGAAGAACUUACUUAGAAAGUGCAAAUUCUUUUAGAAAAAUAAUAGACGAGAAGACCCUAGAAAUUUUAUAGAGUAGCUUUUUGUUGGGGCAACAAAGUAGCAAUAAUAAUCUACUUUAAAUACAUGAAAGACAUAUUUUGGAAGAUUAAAUUACUCUAGGGAUAACAGCAUAAUUUACGAAAGUUUGUGACCUCGAUGUUGGAUUAGGGUAUUACCAUUAAAAG
rnacentral:rRNA from 1 species